CGAUACAGCCGCGUGGGGAGGGGGGAGGUUUAACACAGACGGGUCAGAGUAUGUUGAUCCUGGAAAGGUAAUCAACAUACUCAGUGCGAGUGGGCGGCUGAGAAUGACACGUGUUGUCAUUGGAUGAGGCACUGAGGGGACGGGUUUAGGAGGAGUUUGUACCUGUGUGAACCAGAGUGAGGACAGUGUGGUCUGUGGGAGAGGCAGAAUGGUACCUCAUGUGAGCAGACUCCCCUCGCCUUGACAGGAGAUUCCGCCCUGCGGGAAAAGUGAAAUGAGGAUUAGCCAAUGAGACGUGUGGAUAGAAUCAGGACAUAAUCUAAAUCCACAGACAAAGCCUUCUCUCAUCUGGGAUUAACUUGCUGGCUGGGGCUGGUUUAGAGUUGGGUCUCUGGGUAGCUAGCUGGGGCUGGUUUAGAGUUGGGACUCAUCUGGCUCUGUGGGGUUAGGGUAGCUGGCUGGGGCUGGUUUAGAGUU
rnacentral:lncRNA from 13 species